UUCGGGAAUUGUAUUAGAGGUGGGUUUGGUUAGGAAAGUUACUUUAAGUCCAUUGGAAAAUGGCGCCAUGGAGGGUGAUAGCCCCGUAAAAGUAUCCCUUUUCCUUUUAUCCAUUCCCUCCAAAAGAGUCGAGUUGUUUGGGAAUGCAGCUCUAAGUGGGUGGUAAAUUCCAUCUAAAGCUAAAUAUUGGCGAGAGACCGAUAGCGAACAAGUACAGUGAUGGAAAGAUGAAAAGCACUUUGAAAAGAGAGUGAAAAAGUACGUGAAAUUGUUGAAAGGGAAGGGUUUGCAAGCAGACACAACCUCGGUUGGGCCAGCAUCGGAGUGGGGGGAGACAAAAAAGAAAAGGAAUGUAACUCAUUGAGUAUUAUAGCCUUUUUCUCAUAUCUCCACCCCCUUCCGAGGCCUGCGAUUCUUCAAGGAUGCUGGCGUAAUGGUUGCAAGUCGCCCGUCUUG
rnacentral:rRNA from 1 species